GACGAACGCUGGCGGCGUGCCUAAUACAUGCAAGUAGAACGCUGAAGAGAGGAGCUUGCUCUUCUUGGAUGAGUUGCGAACGGGUGAGUAACGCGUAGGUAACCUGCCUUGUAGCGGGGGAUAACUAUUGGAAACGAUAGCUAAUACCGCAUAACAAUGGAUGACACAUGUCAUUUAUUUGAAAGGGGCAAUUGCUCCACUACAAGAUGGACCUGCGUUGUAUUAGCUAGUAGGUGAGGUAAUGGCUCACCUAGGCGACGAUACAUAGCCGACCUGAGAGGGUGAUCGGCCACACUGGGACUGAGACACGGCCCCGAAUCCUACGGGAGGCAGCAGUAGGGAAUCUUCGGCAAUGGGGGCAACCCUGACCGAGCAAAGCCGGGUGAGUGAAGAAGGUUUUCGGAUCGUAAAGCUCUGUUGUAAGUCAAGAACGGGUGUGAGAGUGGAAAGUUCACACUGUGACGGUAGCUUACCAGAAAGGGACGGCUAACUACGUG
rnacentral:rRNA from 1 species